rnacentral:rRNA from 1 species
UACGUAGGGUGCGAGCGCUGUCCGGAAUUAUUGAGCGUAAAGGGCUCGUAGGCGGUUUGUCGCGUCGGGAGUGAAAACGCCGUGCUUAACACGGCGCUUGCUUUCGAUACGGGCAGACUAGAGGUAUUCAGGGGAGAACGGAAUUCCUGGUGUAGCGGUGAAAUGCGCAGAUAUCAGAAGGAACACCGGUGGCGAAGGCGGUUCUCUGGGAAUGACCUGACGCUGAGGAGCGAAAGUGUGGGGAGCGAACAGG